GUCAAGAUGGCCGAGCGGUCUAAGGCGCUGCGUUCAGGUCGCAGUCUGCCCUGGUAAGCGUGGGUUCGAAUCCCACUUCUGACA